CCCAUUCCAAUAGCUAAUCAUCAACAAGCAUUUCCACAUCACUCAUUCACCAUAUAAUAAGAUUAUAUACACAAAAGGAUCAUAAUGCUAUACAUGCCAUAUUCCCAAAAUAUGCAAACCACUAUACCGAGAUGGUCCGUUGAUAGUGUGAACGUGCCUCCGACAGUCCCGAUCUCCAAGCCGGCUUGUCAAAACUACAAGGAAUGGAAGGGAUGUAAAUAGCAAGUAACAUAAUCAUACAAUAAUACGAAAUCCACAUUUGCAUAAUAUCACCAAAGCAUUCAUAUCAUCUUUCUCAUUCAUGAUCCUACCAUAUUAUUGUUAUAUUGAAGUCUCAACCCGAGGGUUAAGUACAUACCUGUACAAAUUUUCUCAUUCACCACACUUACCAAAAUGUCACCUUCGGUUUAGGUACUCACCUUAUUCACUUAAGAUUUACCCGUUGAACACAUCGGAAUAUGAUUCGAAUACACGGAUUUCAUGCACAUAAGUGCCAUACCCGCAGCUAGACAAACUCAAUAGCCUGCGGAAAUUAUGUAGCCAAGCUACCAUGUAACCCGCCCAUAAGUGAACUCGGACUCAACUUAACGAGCUCAGGCGUUCGCAUCCAUAAGUGAACUCGGACUCAACUCAACGAGUUCGGAUGCCUAAUUACAUCUCACGAACUCGGACUCAACUCAGCGAGCUCAGAACUCAAAUAUCUUAGUGACAUGUCACUUGUAUUCUAAUCUAUUCCCAAGGUUCAAACGGGCUUUUUCCUCGAUCACACAUCUUUUCCAUCUUCCACGGAAUGUCAGAACCGGUACUUGGUAGCAAUUCAUAUUUAUCAAGUAGUAAACAUAAUUUGCAUAUUACUUAACAAUAACCACAAAGCUUAAUAUUUCAUGAUAAUAAUCAUCAUAUCAUAUAAAUAACAUUAAAUUACUUAAAAUGACAAUUAUGUUACUACAUUUAUGCCUGAACUUACCUCGGUACAAAGUAAAGAAAUUUUGCAAUUUAGUCCAUAAUCUUUUCCUUUCCCCGAUCAAGGUCGAUUCCACUUCUUUCUUGGUCUAAAAUAACACAUUUGGCUUAUUUAAUACUCACAUUUAUCAAAAUAGUACUUAAAUCUAACUUUUCAAAAUUACAAUUUUGCCCCUAAACUUUUGCAUAUUUACACUUUUGCCCCAAAGCCCAAAAUUUAAUUUUUUUUCCCAAAAUUAUUAUGUUUUAUGACAUUCUGAUCAUUUUUCCCUUCUAUGGAAACAUCAAAUUCUCACUCUAACAUGUAGUUAUAAACAUUAGGUAUUUUUACCGAUUAUGUCAUUUUACUCGUUUUCACGUAAAAUCGCUUAGCAAAAGUUGUUUAACACAAUUUAAAGCUUCAUAUUCUACCAUAAAACAUCAAGAUAAAUACAUUUCACCUAUGGGUAUUUUUCAAAAUAUAAACCCUAGGUUAAAUUAUUGCUAGAAUAACCUAAAUAAAGUUACCGGGACUCCAAAAACGUAAAGAAUAUUAAAAACGGGGCUUGAAAUCACUUACUAUGGAGCUUGAAAGCUUAAAACAAACCCUAGCUAUGGAGAACCCUUGAAAUUUCGUCCUAAUGAAG
rnacentral:lncRNA from 1 species